rfam:Alicyclobacillus hesperidum TRH17-3-68 TRH17368ctg29, whole genome shotgun sequence.
AUAGCGCUACAACCGCAUGGUUCCAGGUUGUUAAAUGGGUUGCAGCCCAUACCUGGAGCAGCGAGUCUGAGUGAAGGA